rnacentral:rRNA from 1 species
UCAGGGCUUGCCCUGGGGGAUCAGUGGCGAACGGGUGAGUAACACGUGAGCAACCUGCCCCUGACUCUGGGAUAACUCCGGGAAACCGGUGCUAAUACCGGAUAUGACCUGCGUGGGCAUCUGCGUGGGUGGAAAGAUUUAUCGGUCAGGGAUGGGCUCGCGGCCUAUCAGCUUGUUGGUGGGGUGAUGGCCUACCAAGGCGACGACGGGUAGCCGGCCUGAGAGGGCGACCGGCCACACUGGGACUGAGACACGGCCCAGACUCCUACGGGAGGCAGCAGUGGGGAAUAUUGCUCAAUGGGCGCAAGCCUGAAGCAGCGACGCCGCGUGAGGGAUGAAGGCCUUCGGGUUGUAAACCUCUUUCAGCAGGGAAGAAGCGCAAGUGACGGUACCUGCAGAAGAAGCACCGGCUAACUACGUGCCAGCAGCCGCGGUAAUACGUAGGGUGCAAGCGUUGUCCGGAAUUAUUGGGCGUAAAGAGCUCGUAGGCGGUCUGUCGCGUCUGCUGUGAAAACCUGGGGCUUAACCCCGGGCCUGCAGUGGGUACGGGCAGACUAGAGUGCGGUAGGGGAGACUGGAAUUCCUGGUGUAGCGGUGAAAUGCGCAGAUAUCAGGAGGAACACCGGUGGCGAAGGCGGGUCUCUGGGCCGUAACUGACGCUGAGGAGCGAAAGCAUGGGUAGCGAACAGGAUUAGAUACCCUGGUAGUCCAUGCCGUAAACGUUGGGCGCUAGGUGUGGGGCUCAUUCCACGAGUUCCGUGCCGCAGCAAACGCAUUAAGCGCCCCGCCUGGGGAGUACGGCCGCAAGGCUAAAACUCAAAGGAAUUGACGGGGCCCCGCACAAGC